rnacentral:rRNA from 1 species
UGCGUAGGCGGAAAAAUAAGUCUAAUGUGAAAGCCCUCGGCUUAACCGAGGAACUGCAUCGGAAACUGUUUUUCUUGAGUGCAGAAGAGGAGAGUGGAACUCCAUGUGUAGCGGUGGAAUGCGUAGAUAUAUGGAAGAACACCAGUGGCGAAGGCGGUCUACUGAACAGUAACUGACGCUGAGGCGCGAAAGCGUGGGGAGCGAACA